CUAAAUGACGUCUGAGAAAACGAUGGACUGCACACCUUUUUAUUUAAAGAUAAUGGCUAUUCGUCACUGCUACAUGUGGCGUCCAAAGAGCAGUGAAUGUUACAUCAGCUGAGAUAACGCUAGCUUUAACAAAAGGGUCCAAUUGGUUUGCAGUCUGUUGCCAGCUCGUGACAACAAUGUUGCCAAUGAGAUCCAGAAUAUGACGACCGGUGUCGAGUACCGCUCCAUCUUUCAUUUGUGCCCAAACGAUGAGGCUCUGCACGGACUGAGAGGAGUAAACCCCGUCUCGGGGCAAGCUGUAAACACUGACCCAGUCUCAGACGAGUUGGAAGACAAAUCCUCAGAAAAUGACAGACAGAGGGAGUCCAGCCUGGUUCGAGAGGUGUCAGACAAGAUGGUCUGCUCAGCCUGCAGAUGCACCUUUGUUAGUCGUGAGGAACAGAUGGAGCACUACAAGCUUGACUGGCAUCGCUUCAACUUGAGACUAAAGAUUUCGGGGAUGCCACCCGUCACAGCUGAGGAGUUUGAAAGGAAGACUGGAGCCGGAGACAUGUCGAGUAUCUCGGGCUCGGAGUCGGAUUCAGAAGACCACGACUCGGAGAGUGAGAGUGGUGGAACAAGCAGCAAUGUCACUGGCACUGAUAAUGACAGCUCAGUGGAAAGCAGUUUAUUUACUGGCCGGCAUUCCAACAAGGUGUUUUUCCAGAACUCAGCCGCCCAAUAUAUAUCUGUGUACCGCUGCAUUCUACAGGGACAGUCAGACGAGGAGCUCGAAGUAGGAUCCUUCCUGAGAGCCUUAAGUCAGAAGACUGUGUGGGUUGUUCUCAUGACAGGUGGAGGCCACUUUGCUGGCGCUGUAUUUCAAGGAAAAGAAGUGCUUCAGCACAAGACCUUCCACCGAUACACGGUGCGAGCGAAGCGCGGCACGGCUCAAGGACUCAAAGACUCUCAGAACCGCAGUCACACUCCUAAGUCCGCAGGAGCUGCUCUGAGGCGACACAACGAGGCGGCGCUAGUCAAGGAGAUUCAGGAUCUUCUGGCCAGCUGGGCUGAGCACUUAAAGGAAGCCUCUGCAAUAUUUGUACGAGCUCCCAGCUAUAAUAAAAGCAUCCUUUUUGGUGGCCAGUCAGCUCCGUUUGACAGAAAAGAUCCCAGGAUCCACACAAUUCCCUUUGCCACACGCAGGGCAACCUUUCGGGAGGCACGCAGGGCACAUGAGGUGCUUUCCACUGUCCAUGUUUACGGGAAAGACACAGACAUGUCUGCAAUCUAUGCUCCAUCGAAGAAGGCCUGGAAAAAAUCUGUCAAAGCAGCAGCACUAAUAAAUACAGAUCAAGAGAAAGCAGAUGAAAACCAUGAUAGCUCUGGUGAAGAAGGCGGAGACAUCCAGCUGGAGAUGGUGGAGAUGACCAUAGGAACUCUGGACCUCAGGGAGUUUGAAAUCUAUCCCUCUAGGCCCAGGAGAAGGAGGAGGAGAAAGGAGGAGGAAUCCAAACUGCAAAAUGAGGAAUUGAGUCCCACAGAAGCAGACAAUCAAGAAGAAGUGCUAGAGGCUACACCAGCAGAAGAUGCCCCUCAAGAGACACAAUCAAAGCACAAGAGGAAGAGGAAAGCACAGAGUAAGAAGCAACUGGAAGGAAUUGUUGAUGAGUCGUCAGGUUAUGGCCUGAGGGAUGAAGUGUUCACAGCCUGUAAGGUUGGGGAUGUGGACGCUCUACGUGGACUCCUUCAGCCACCUGCAGAAACGUCACAGAGUCAGGACCAGUGGCAGAGCAACCCUUCUGAUGCCCCAAGUCCUCUAAUCCUCCUCAAUCAGCCCAUAGACUCGUCGGGGUUCACUUUGCUGCAUGUUGCCUCGGCUGCUGCACAAAAGGCAGUGGUCAGGUUUCUCCUGGAUGCAGGAGCAGACCCAGCCUGCAGGGAUAACAAAAGACAGACGCCAUAUAUUGUCUGCCCUGACAAAGACACAAGGAAUGUCUUUCGUAAAUACAUGGGCGAGAAUCCUGACAAAUAUGACUACAUCAAGGCACAGAUCCCUGGACCCCUAACGGCAGAGAUUGAAGCCAAAAAGACGGAGAAGAAAAGGGCGCAAAAUGCAUUAAGAAAACAGCGAGAAAAAGAGCAGAGGGAGGAAAAGAGGAAACGAGAGUCGGAUGCAGAGGAAAAGAAGAGGUUUGCAUCUCUGACGGAUCGUGAAAAGAGAGCUCUGGCAGCAGAGAGGAGGUUAGCAGAGCAAGUAGCUGCAACAGGAGUUGGCCUAUCUAAUGUCACGAGGUGCUGGUUGUGUGGAGAGUCUCUGCUUGGGAAGAUCCCAUUUCAGUACCUGGAUUAUUCGUUCUGCACCCCUAGCUGUGUCCAAGCACAUCGAAAAACCCACACUCUUCCAGGCAAGACUUAACACCAAUAUAUAGAUUUAUAUAUUUCUCUUGUCUGACUCCAUGUGGGAAAUCUUGGUUGAAAGGAAGCUACCUCAUUAAAACUAAAGUGAAAUUGGGCAGUCUUGAUAGAUCCAAUAUGGCUGUCUUGCCAAUGUGCUAGUUUCAUUUUCAACACAAAACAUGGAUCUGAAAUAUAAUUUGUAUCAUGUCAGAUAAUGACAACUUGGAGAAUAAACCAUAUUAAAUGUAUUUAUUCACAGUAUCUGCAACAAUGGAAAUGGUUAAUAAGCAAUAAAAAAAAAACUAAUAUUGUUAUGUUAUUUAAUCAACAGGUGUCAGUGUAUGUUAAACCUUUAAAGACAAAACCAUAUUUGAAUCAGUUUAACUAAUUGGCUGCUUUUUUUAAAGCGGUUGACAUUGGAUUGCUAUGAUUAUGAAUUGGCUACAAAUGAAAUGAGACAAUAAGAAUAAGGUUGACACCGAAAUAAUGCUGGGAAAAUCCAUUUUCUCAUGUCGGGUGAAUUGUUCAGAGGACUGCUUCGACGUGGCUUCAGUUAAACUUGCUUUACUCAGAUAUUGGCAUGUGACAUUAUUUCAGCUGAAUGUUGGGAAAAUGUUGUGCUACAAAACUCAGUGAGCUCCGUUAAGACUUUUCAGCAAUGACAUUGAGCUGAGGCCGGUCCAUGAAAAGAACCCGUAGGUGUGCUGGGGCCCUCUCCAGCUCAAGCACUGUGAUGUUGUUGGGUAGGGUAGUGCUGAGCAGGGGUCCAGGGAUAUAAAGAGUCUGUUGAGGGCCCCUUGCUGGCCAGUAUCGUCCCAGAUUCAUACCAUUAAUCCAAAUCUGACCCUGAUAUAAAAAAAAAAGAUGAGGUUACAAUUAUUCCCCACCCCCUGAAAUCAUGAGGUAAACCCACAUAGGAAUUAACGGAUAAAAUACAAUUAACAUUACCUUUGUCCAUUCAUGGAGCUUGAGAAAGGUGUCCCAGGCCAGCCCAUUGGGCUGUAAGGUCCCCAUGUACAAGACUGGUCCAACUGAUGGGUCUUUCUGAGGGACGGGGAACGACUUUCGACUGUCUGAAUGAGGCCAUCCUCCCGCGAUGGCUCCAUCAAUGUCCAAAGGGUAGAUCGUCCAGUCAGACAGUACAUCUUUACCCAGGAUCAAGUUGCUCAAGAGGCCCUGAGGAUUGGACUUUGUUCUCUUGCCUUGUAGUCGUUGAUCUUGCUGCCAAAGUUCACCCUGCCCAUGUUCUCAACGAGGAUGUCCACAGUGUCCCCCUGCUGUCCAGUCACGUUAAUCACCAGCACAGUGUCUCUCUCCAACAGACCCUGGAAAAGCUGUUCACGCAGACGCGCUCAAUGAGUAUGGACAUUAAAAAAAAUAACUGAGGAAGAAUUUGAAUUUUCACAACCUGACAUUUUAGAAACUAUCAUGCCUGUGAUGUUUUCCCUAUACCUGACAUGACAACUCUGAUUUGUGUGACAACAACAGUUCAUUGUGAAGGCUUACCCCAUUGACGCACACAUAUGCACGGUCAUGAACCCCAUUCAGUGGCGAGAUAAGUGGCGUAGGCUCCGAGAGGUCCCGGGGCAACGUGGUCCGAUAAAGCAUGUAUCCAUAGUACUGAACACAAUAGAUAUGACAGGUUGCAGACACAACAGGCUAGAAGUUCUCCACGUUUCAAAAGGAUUAAUUCCACGACAACAACGUUCCCCUCCCCUGUGGUUGCCUUUUGGACAGACACACUAUACCUGUUUCAUCUCUUCAAACGUCAGAGGAUACUGGGAUUUCACCGGCCCGAGGGGUGAGAGCGUGUUCAACAGACCGCUGAUGUCGCCAACCUGAAAAAGUGUCCCUUAUUGGCAUCAGUCAAACCUCUGGCUCUUUAUACUUCAAAAGCUGAGAUAAUCUUACCUUUUUCAGGGUUACAAAGCCAUAGGCAAACUUGGGAGUUGCUGGUGGCAUGGGGCCAGAGGGAAUAUCUCUAAACUGUAGAGAAACAUGUGUCCCAUUAAUCAUGUCAUAGACAUACGAGCAAGUGUAAUCAGGACAUCAGGCUCAGUGGGUGGUAGUUAAAUCAAUGCUACCUGCUUAAUGACAUCUCUGAUGGCCAACAGCUUCUCCGUGGGGUCUCCUGCCUCAGACAGCGGGGCGUCGUAAUCAUAACUAGUCACCACUGAGCGGAACCGUGUGUCAUGAUCGGCACCUUUGGGGAGUUAAAGGAACGAGUGUGCGAUGAGCUGAGCGUCUAUCUUUAUCUACAACUGAGGUACCAAUGAUGAAACCAAUGACUUUACCAUUCCAGUAGCCAAAGUUAGUGCCUCCUUCAAACAUGUACCUGAGAAGAGAGGGGAAGAAUGUGCUGUUUAGUGGGGAAACUUACUGUUCAUCACGUAAACAGGUGCUGUUCACCUUGUAAGAGCAGUUUCAUCUCAAACCGGCAGUUGAUGCGUCCUAAAGAAAAAGCUGGCAAUAUUCUAUAUUCAUGGGAUUUGUUGAUAAGAAAAUCUAGAGCAAUGCCAGGAAAUGUUUGCGAGUCUGCGAGUGUUCAGGGAGACAUACAUGUUGACGUUGGCCCCCAUGAUUAGCAUUUCUUCUAGCACUCUGCUGACCUUCUGAGCAUCAACCACAGCAUGCGGAUCUCCCCAGUGGUCCAACCAGCCAGUGUAGAACUCAGAGUUCACCUAUAACAUCAUGUAAAACAUUUUACCACCAUAUGUUUGGUUUAAGGAGUCGGUAAUAACUGCUUCUUAAGAAAAGUGAAUUAAUAUAUGACUAACCAGGGGCCCUCGAGGUUCAAACUGUCUUUGCCGGCUGAAGGCUUGAGUUAUGUUGGUGUCUGUAUUAAGGGAUAAUUUGGAGAAAUUGCAACUCUCUGUAUAAAUAACAAAGUACAGGGUGCUUUCUUGUUAAUAAUUUUCAUACAAUACCAACCUGUGCCAAAGUCCACUGUGGCAUAUAGUCCCUCCAGAGUCCCGCACGUCAUUUCCUUGUCUGUGUUUCCAUCAGUGGUGAACAAGACUGUGUCUUCCCCCAGAAAGAGGCGGAACAGAGUCCGCAGGUGACGCAUGUAGUUGUAGUCACAAGCAAAGUAACUUCCAUAUUCAUUCUCCACCUGUAGCCAAGAAGAUGAAUAAUUAAAACCAAUUUUAUAAUAGUCAUUUUUCCCAAACUUACAUCAUGCUCUACCUGGACGGUGAUGAUGUUGCCCCCGUUGAUAUACAGCCAAGGCUUCAUUUUGGGAAGAAGAACAGCGAGCCAGUUGCUGACUGCUUGGAUAUAAUCUGGAACAGAGGAAAACAAAUCAAUGGCAUAAUAGUAUUAAAAAAAAAACUAAACCAAAGACACAUACAGUAGGAGCAGUAGUCAUACCUGUGUCAGCUGAGCGAAGUAUGAUGCUUGGUUUCUGAAGUAGCCACGCUGGCAAUCCACCCUGGGUAGAAAGACCAAACAUCAAUGAAAGACUGCAGCAAAUACUGUUCAACAACAACAGUAAUGCUCACUUUGAUUGUAAAUCUCAACUUACAUGUCACAGAAUGUAAACAUUUCAUUUGGAAAUUUCUUGAUUUAAUCUGUAAUAUCCAGUGUUAUUUUCUCAAUUUCCACAUUGUAAUUCUUGGUUUAAGACACGUUCUUCACUUA